GACACAGUGCCAGCCGCACACCUCCUUCAAGAUGACGAAGACCAACGGUCAGAACGCAGCUCGUAAGCUGGUGCGCCUGCGCUGCCGCAACCGCUGGGCCGACAAGGGCUGGAAGCGCGCGCACACCUUCUCGGCCAGGAAGGCGAACCCUUUCGGCGGGUCGUCGCACGCCAAGGGCAUCGUGCUGGAGAAGAUCGGCGUCGGCGCCAAGCAGCCUAACUCCGCCAUUCGUAAGUGUGUGCGUGUGCAGCUGAUCAAGAACGACAAGAAGAUCAUCGCGUUCGUGCCGAACGAUGGCUGCCUUCACUUCAUCGAGGAGAACGACGAGGUGCUGGUGUCUGGUUUCGGCCGUUCUGGCCACGCCGUCGGUGAUAUUCCCGGCGUCCGCUUCAAGAUCGUGAAGGUGUCGAACGUCGGCCUGUACGCCCUGUACCGGCAGAAGAAGGAGAAGCCGCGUAACUAGAAAACUAGGGACGCAUGCUGCCUCUCUCUCUCUGUCCCUGUCUGUGCCUGUGUCACUGGCACAUGCGAGAGGAGGACGACGAACGGCCGGGAGCGUGCACGCGGCCGCGUUGUGGUCUCGCGGAGCGUCUACGUACACAUUGUGUUGGACAUGGCGCAGACGGGGGGGGAGAUAAUGGUGAUGCGCGGUUGCACCUCGUUGUGUCCUACGCCGCUGCCUCUGCCUAAGUCUUGUUUUCUCUCGCUUACUUUGAUGCUUUUCUCCUAAUUUUGCCUGAUUUUACCGUUCUCUACGCCAAGACAUGCACGAACGACGAGAUUGCCCCCGCCUCCCACCCAGCAAACAAUCGAAGUGCCGCCGUAGCUCACGCACGUGCGGGGGUAGAAGAAGGAGGGGGUGGAUAGAUCCGGCGCAGCGGCGGCUUUGAGGCCUCGGAAAAAAGGUGAAGACGAAGCCGGCGCGCACGUUUUCUCUAUAGAUAUAUAUGCGUAGAUUUGCUCAUGCACUGCCAGCUGUGUUACGUGCAGGCAACAACCUUCUCUACUCCCUCCUACCCCUUCCGGCGCUCGCCCGCUUGUUCCUCCUUUUUCCCCCUUUUUCCCUAUUCACUAACCCACGCGCACGCCCGCAUGCGCACCAUCGCUCACUGACUCUCAACAAG
rnacentral:misc_RNA from 1 species